CUCAGUUUCCUAGAGCCAAAGGAUUCGAGUCUCACUGAGACCUGCUCGUGCCUUCACCCUCAUACUCUCCCAGUGAGUGCAGUAUCCUGGAAAUUUGGAGUCUGAUAGACCAUAACAGCUAAAGUUUGAUCAUGGAAACAGAGCCACCAUAAGCAAUAUGAAAUAAAGGGUUUAUUGCAGAGGUUAGACUCGACAUCAUUGUGGGAAGUUAUAAAGAAGCCUAUGGGAGGCUGUUGCCUCUGCAUCUGGCAGUAGCCUUGAAGUCACUAGAGGUCGAGAAGACUGGAAGUUAGGAAGACAAGCUGGACAUGAACAGAGAGACAAAAGAUAAACUGGAACCCACAUCUGUAUCUCAUGGCCUCCAACCUCAACAAUAUAGAUAACUUGCAGAAGAGACUAGUGUCCUUUGCCACGAAGCUACACAAGAUUCCUGCCAUGGCACAGGACUAAAAUAACUGAAAGGAGGAGAUCUGCUGAAAACUAGAGAAGCUGUGGACCCAGCCAUUGCGCCACACCAAUGAGGUGAACCAGCAGAUCAGUGAUGACAUCCACUUAGGAUGAUAUGUCGUUGGACACAGUCUGGCAUUCAGAGUGUCUUAAGAGAAAAAAGAAUGUUCCUAGAAGGUGAAUGUACGAAGUCCAGAGAUCAUGAGACCCAGAAGACACUUGAGAAUAUUAUAGACCCAUUGAAAACACUGGCUUCCCAAAUAUGGCAAAAACACUGAAUUCCAGAAAACUUUAAAUUGUUCAUAUUUCCUUAUGGAUAGGUAAAAACCUGCUACAAUAAGGUAAGAAAAUACCAAUUGUAAUACUAUCUAAAAUACCCAGAUUCAAAGUUAUUUUCUUUAAAACAAUAAAAUGUCUAUUUUAACAAAAUAAGUUUAAAGGAAGGAAGGUCCCAUAGAAUGUUUAACACUCAUUUAUUUUCCUCUUUCUUUUAGACAUCCUUCUCAGAGACUGGCACCUGAA